GACGAACGCUGGCGGCGUGCUUAACACAUGCAAGUCGAACGGAAAGGCCCUGCUUUUGUGGGGUGCUCGAGUGGCGAACGGGUGAGUAACACGUGAGUAACCUGCCCUUGACUUUGGGAUAACUUCAGGAAACUGGGGCUAAUACCGGAUAGGAGCUCCUGCUGCAUGGUGGGGGUUGGAAAGUUUCGGCGGUUGGGGAUGGACUCGCGGCUUAUCAGCUUGUUGGUGGGGUAGUGGCUUACCAAGGCUUUGACGGGUAGCCGGCCUGAGAGGGUGACCGGCCACAUUGGGACUGAGAUACGGCCCAGACUCCUACGGGAGGCAGCAGUGGGGAAUAUUGCACAAUGAGCGGAAGCCUGAUGCAGCAACGCCGCGUGCGGGAUGACGGCCUUCGGGUGGUAAACCGCUUUCGCCUGUGACGAAGCGUGAGUGACGGGAAUGGGGAAAGAAGCACCGGCUAACUACGU
rnacentral:rRNA from 1 species